rnacentral:misc_RNA from 1 species
GAUGAAGAACGCAGCGAAAUGCGAUAAGUAAUGCGAAUUGCAGAAUUCAGUGAAUCAUCGAAUCUUUGAACGCACAUUGCGCCCGCUAGUAUUCUGGCGGGCAUGCCUGUCCGAGCGUCAUUUCAACCCUCAAGCCCCCGGGCUUGGUGUUGGGGAUCGGCGAGCCUCCGCGCCCGCCGUCCCCUAAAUCUAGUGGCGGUCUCGCUGUAGCUUCCUCUGCGUAGUAGCACACCUCGCACUGGGAAACAGCGCGGCCACGCCGUUAAACCCCCAACUUCUGAACGUUUGACCUCGGAUCAGGUAGGAAUACCCGCUGAACUUAAGCAUAUCAAUAAGCGGAGGA